rnacentral:rRNA from 1 species
GGUUUGAUUCUGGCUCAGAUUGAACGCUGGCGGGGUCUUUUACAUGCAAGUCGGGCAGCGGCACGGACUUCGGUCUGGUGGCGAGUGGCGAACGGGUGAGUGGCCAUAUCGGAACGUACUAAUGACGAGAUAAACUACCACGGCGUAGCUAUUACCUCAUACGCCCUUCCGGGGAAAGCGGGGACCUUCCGGGCCUCGCACUAUUGAAGCGGCCGAUAUCGGAUUAGCUGGUUGGUGCAGGGUAACGGCUCACCAAGGCGACGAUCCGUAGCUGGUUUGAAGGAUGACCAGCCACCAGGACUGGGAACCACAGCCCAGACUCCUACGGGAAGGCAGCAGUGGGGUACGGGCACAAUGGAAACCCUGGUCCAGCCAUCGCGUGUGCGAUAAGGUGCCGGGUUGUAAAGCACUUUUGGCAGGAAAAACAGCACAGGAUAAUACCCCGAUGCAACUGACAGUACCUGCCAGAAUAAGCACAGAAGCCCCAACUACGUGCCAGCAGCCGCGGUAAUACGUAGGGUGCGGCGUUAAUCGGAAUUACUGGUGCAAAGCGUGCGCAGGCGGUUCGGAAAGAAGAUGUGAAAUCCCAGAGCUUAACUUUGGAACGCAUUUUUAACUACCGAGCUUUGAAGUGUCAGAGGGAGGUGGAGAUUCCGCGUGUAGCAGUGAAAUGCGUAGAUAUGCGGAGGAGGAACACCGAUGGCGAAGGCAGCCUCCUGGGAUAACACUGACGCUCAUGCACGAGCUGAUGGGGGAGUAAAACGGGAUUAGAUACCCUGGUAGUCCACGCCCUAAACGAGCUCGUAAACUAGCUGUUGGGAGCCUUCGGGCCUUGGCCACAGCUAACGUGAAGUUGACCGCCUGGGGAGAAUACGGUCGCAAGAUUAAAACUCAAAGGGGUGACGGGGACCCGCACAAGCGGUGGAUGAUGUGGAUUAAUUCAGUGCAACGCGAAGAGCCUUACUACCCUUGAACAUGUCUGGAAUCCCGAAGAGAUUUGGGAGUGCUCGCAAAGAGAACCAGGGAACACAGGUGCUGCAUGGCUGUCGUCAGCUCGUGUCGUGAGAUGUUGGGUUAGAGUCCGCAACGAGCGCAGCUACACUUGUCAUUAGUUGCUACGAAGGCACUCUAAUGAGACUGCCGGUGAACAAACCGGAGGAAGGUGAGAUGACGUCAGAUCCUCAUGGCCCUUAUGGGUAGAACCACACGUCAUACAAUGUCGUUAAAGGACAGAGGGUCGCCAACCCCGCCCGAGAGGCCAAUCAGAAAGCCGAUGUAGUCCGGAUCACCAUGAGUCUGCAAUGACUGCGUGAAGUCAGAAUCGCUAGUAAUCGCGGAUCAGCGUAUCGCGGUGGUGUUCCCAGGUCUUAUACACACCGCCCGUCACGCCAUGGGAGUGGGUUUACCCGAAGUAGUUAGCCUAACCGUAAGGAGGCGAAAAUUACCACACGGUAGGAUUCAUGACUGGGGUGAAGUCAUGUUCAGGACA